ensembl:lncRNA ZNF496-DT ZNF496 divergent transcript
UUGCACUCCAGCCGGGGUGACAGAGUGAGAUUCUGUCUCAAAAGAAAAAGAAAAGAAAAGAAAAAGAAAGAAGAAACUUAAGCAGGGAAGGAGACUGGGGUAUAACCUUACAAGGAGGACAAUGAAACUUAGAUGACAUCCGGGAAGAUCGUAACCCCAUAGUACUCGACCAAUGAAGAACUAGCGGAGGGACUUGUGUGCUAGAAGAUAAAUUACCUGUUGUGACUGCCCCAGUUGUGCCUGCCCACCAGACACCUGAUCUUGCAAGACCGUUACUAAAUGUCUCCUUUUCACUGUUCUUCAGGCCUCUAAGUCCAUUCUCUGGAUUUGGACAGGUCUUCUGACGCAAGCUCUGCCUCUUGAGUUCAUGGUUCACUACUUCCAGCCUGGCAACUUGGUGCUGACUAAGAUUUGGAAAGAAGACAAGCUCCACCCAAGCUGGGAAGGUCCCUGUCAAGUGCCUCUGCCCCUGAGACAGCCCUGCGAACAGCUGAAUGGGGGUGGACUCACUACACUGGAAUCAAGAGGCCGGUAAAAGAGACCUGGAAAGGGAAGGAGAAAGAACAGUGGGAAGUGCAUGGGUCACCUGACGAACACUUAAAGUUAACUCUGAGAAAAAUUUAGAAAGAAAGCGUGGGCUGGCUGCAUUUCUGAAAGGUAAUAAGGCUGGGAUGGGUUAGUAUACAAAGAGCAGAAGGUCAAAAUGGAAACUGGCAGGGGACUCCCCACUGCUCAAUCAGGUUGGUGAUUAAUAUGAUUAAGACGGUAGCACCCCAAACUAUAAGAUUUGAUGCCUGUCAGGUUUUACCUUGUGGGAAUUUAGAAAAUCAGAGACAGCUCUCGCAGGCAGAUAAAUCUCUUUGCCUUGAACCAGAUGCAGGUUGCAGUAGGGCAUCACCCUUCCCCAGCUGGGAGGAUGUAUGGUGCGCUACCCAAUUUCAGGGUUGGACAGUAAACAUGGUGUGGGUAACUCCAAACUGGAAACCCUUGAAGCAUAAACUACCUCUGUCCAAGCGCUCCCCACCAAAUAACUGCCAGAAUUUAGAAUGCCAUCCUAUACUCAUCACCCUUGACAAUUCAGCCUUUCUAGACCAAGAACCAAAAGUAGCAUCUCAGGUAUAUGGGUUAGGAGAAGACAUCACAAGGAAAGACCCCCAGGUCGAUUUGAUCUCAGGCUAAUCAAGAACUCAACCUCCCAUUUGCCUGGAACUACUCCAACCCCAGACCCUAAUAAACACUUUAGUCUACCAAAUAUUAACCCUAAAAUGGUAACAAUAAUUGAGGUAAAGGAUUUAAGGCAAACCUUAGAAAUUGAGACAGGGUAUAGGGAUGUGAAUGCCUGGGUCAAAUGGGUCAUAUUUUCGGUACAAGCCCUCAGCAAAAGUAACUGCUACGCGUGUGCUGCAGGACCACCUCAGGCGCAGGUGGUUCCGUUUCCCCUGGGAUGGAAUAGUGAUUCUAGAGGAAUGUGUUGCAUGUUGGCUGCAUACCAGCACAAUGAUAUAAGUAAGGAGAAGUAAGACUUGUAAGAGUCUUUCAUUGCUGUUUCCUGCAUUGCGGAGCUCAGAUCCCAGAGCAAUACCCUCGUUCUCUGCAGAGAACAUGAACUACUCCUCUUGCCUCUCUAGACAGGGGGCAGAGUUCCAUAAGCCUAUGGGAGAACUCUCAACUUGUACCCACAUCCUAAACGUCACUGGUGAGUUGAGCAAUGGCAAUUACUCAGCUCUCCAUACACCCCGGGCUGAUGUCUGGUAGUAUUAUGGGAAAAGGAACCUACGUAACCUGUUACUGUCCAAUGGGACCAGGACUUGUGCUUUAGUCUCAUUGGCCAUUCCCUUCACCCUGGCAUCCCAUAAGAUACCCCAAAAUACACAUGGCCACUGAAACCAGAGAGAUUUCACAAAUUCUUUUAAUCCCAAUGUGUAUGUUGACUCAAUAGGAGACCCUGGUGGGGGUAGGGUUGCCUAAUAAAUUGAAGGCCUGAAACGCAGUAGGUGCUGGGUUUAAAGUCAGGACACUUCUGCUGGUCAACUAUUAAGAAGAAUGCGAAUUAAAUUAACUCCAUCUAUUAUAAUCAACAGGAAUUCAUCAAUUAUACUUGGGAUGCCCUCAAAGGGUGGCUAGCCAGUUAGAUGCCACCAGCUAAAUGGCCUGGGAAAACAGACUUGCGCUAGACAUGAUACUAGAGAAAAAGGGAGCGUGUGUGUUAUGCUGGGCGGGAAAUUUUGUACUUUCAUUCCCAGCAAUACUGCCCCAAAUGGGACCAUCACAAAAGCUUUACAAGGACUAACAACUCUAGCCAACGAACUGGAAGAAAUGCUCGGAAUUAAUGACCCAUUUACGGGUUGGCUAGAAGGCUGAUUUGGAAAAUGGAAAGGAAUGGUAGCUUCAAUCCUUAUAUCUCUCAUAAUUGUGGCAGGAUUCUUAAUAGCAGUGGAAUGUUGUAUUAUCCCUUGUGUGAGGGGACUAGCACAGAAAUUAAUUAAAACAGCUAUUAAUAAACAAAUGCCCAUGACUUACCAGCAAAAUAACCUGCCACUAUUAGAAAGCAAAUUAAACUCACUCUCCUAUGAGGAAGAAAGUAAACAACUUCUGGAGCGAUUCACGGCCCAAAAGGGUUUAAAAGAAAAUGAGAACAAAAUAAGUAAAUAGAAAAGAGGAGGGAAUUGGUGAGAAAACCUUUUAAAUGGUCCAUUUGCAAGGCAUGAUAAGUCUAAGCACUGGCAGCCAGCCUGCAAAUGUAAGAAACCACAUGGCUCAUGCACCCAGAAGGUCACAGUAAGUGGACAGAAUGUAGAGGUGUGGUCAGCUCAUAAAAGGGAAGAAAGUUUUGUUAUGGGGAAAUCAAAACUUAAGUGGGGAAGAGGACGGGGUAUAACUUUGUAAGGGGGAUAAUGAAAGUUAGGCGAUGUCCGGGAAGAUUGUAACCCCACAGUACUCAACCAGUGAGGAACUGGGGGAGGGACUUGUGUGCUAGGACAUAAAUUACCCGUUGUGACCGCCCUGGUUGUGCCUGCUCACCAGACACCCGAUCUCGCAAGACCGUUAUGAAAAGUCUCCCUUUCGCUGUUCUUUGUGCCUCUAAGUCCAUUCUUUGGGUUUGGAUGGGUGAGUGUGUUUCUCACAAAUGCACCACUGCACCCCUGCCUAGGUGACAGAGACAGACUGUGUCUCAAAAAAAUGAAAAUAUCAGGGAACUCAAUGCAAAAGACUGCGGCGCUUUAGACUUGAGAGUAACCUGCCCAUGACCCUUGGGGCUCCGUGAGGAAGACAAAAGACCCCCAAAAGGAGGGUGUAUGGCACCUUUUUCUGGUUUCUCAAGGGGUCUCAGGACUGCUAGAAGUUCCCUCUUGAUUUCUUCGUGUGUUAUUG